ACGACCUCAACUCAAGCAAGGUUACCCGCUGAACUUAAGCAUAUCAGUAAGCGGAGGAAAGAAACUAACU
rnacentral:rRNA from 1 species